AAAGAAAGCGGAGUCAGCUCAUCUCAGGGCGACUUCCUCACUAAUAUCUGCUGAGCAACCGAACGCGCUCUCAUAGAUGCACAGAGGAACCGACCGCCGCAGCUGUCUGCAGAAGUUCGUGUUGUGCGUGGUCAAGUAGAUGGGCAGGCUUUGGAGGGAGAGGUCCUUGGUGAACGGACUCCUGAUUCGUCCGACACCGAAGGCCUUGCUUGUGUGUCAGGUGUCUAUUUAACAGUUUGCGUGGCGUCCUGUAAAUGCAGUUUCGUCCAGUCGGCAAGCACAGCAGCCUGAGAGGCUGAUCUAGUUCAGCCUGGGGACCUGCGCAUGAGUGUCAUGGGUUCACGCCGACACACAUAUAAAAAUAAACAUUCGAGAAGAAAAGAAAAACUGAUCUAAAGGACAGGUUACAGACUUGAGUUUUGUGUUCGGCCUCCCAGGUUCCGGGUCAGUAUUUCCAUUUUGGUUUCCUGUCAGCACACAGAGCAUCCCCUAACUAGGCUGCGCUAACUAAAGGAUGUUAGGGAACUCUCUUGGGUAUUUUUUAAGUUCCCAUUAAGUAUUUAUAUUAAUUUGAUUUGGAUUAAAUCAGUAUCAUAAA
rnacentral:lncRNA from 1 species